UCCUGAGGUGCAGAGGGGCUACAAGUAUAACACAAAUUAAACUCUCAGCAGGAAGUCUCUGAUAGAGUCUAUAUUUGGACAGCUACCAUACAUGUGGCUUGAUCAGCUCAAUGUUCUGCAUAACUCUAACAGAAACCAGAGGCUCCCUGGCUGUGCCUGUUUCCUGAAGAGAACCAUUUGUGCCAAGUCUGUGGCAAAGGUUUUAAAGGAACAUUAAUAUAAAGCUGCUGAUUUUCAAGGAUAUUCUCAGCUUCAGAUUUCUGUGAUAAAAUUGAGAAGACAGAGGUGGCCAAACUCCCAGAAGAUGCAGCUGAGGAGGUCAUAAUGAAACUCCAUGUGGAAAUGAGUCUAUAUAAGGAAAGAAAUUUGUUUAAAUUUGAAGGGGGACAAC